rnacentral:tRNA from 2 species
GCCCGAGUGGUGAAAUCGGUAGACACAGCGGACUUAAAAUCCGCCGCCUCUGAAAAGGGCGUGCCGGUUCGAUUCCGGCCUCGGGCACCA